rnacentral:lncRNA from 1 species
CAAACUGCUUCCAUACCUUUUUGGAGGAAACCUCAAAUGGGGUCAUAAAAAGUCAGACACUGAAGAACAUUUCCAUUGGACACUGAAAUGACUGAAUAACAAGAAGAACAUUUAACACAGUACCUGGAUCAUUGGCUCUUUAACAACAUAAUUCUCCUUGAGCUGCUAUAUGACUGGAGUUAUGAAGCUCAAAGUCUCAGAACAAUCAUUUUUGAAGAAAAUAAAAUGGGUUUUAUAAAUGAUGUAGCUGAUUACUUUACCAUCAUAAAAUUUACCUAUGAUAACAAUUCCUAUUAUCUGAGAUUUGUGUAUGAGAAAAGUGAGGCUCAAAUUGAAUGACGAUUUUCCAAGAUAACACAAUUAUUGCCAGAUAUAAGGAAGCUGAAGUCCUGGUAAGGAAGAGGCAAGAAAGAAGUGAAGCAGAGAACACAGGAAGAUCUGGAGAAAGAAAUUCAAUUCCUGAUGAAUAUUUACUACCUGAAUGA